UACGAAGGGGGCUAGCGUUGUUCGGAUUUACUGGGCGUAAAGCGCACGUAGGCGGAUUGUUAAGUCAGGGGUGAAAUCCCGGAGCUCAACUCCGGAACUGCCUUUGAUACUGGCAAUCUUGAGGCUGGAAGAGGUUAGUGGAAUUCCCAGUGUAGAGGUGAAAUUCGUAGAUAUCGGGAGGAACACCAGUGGCGCAAGCGGCGGCCUGGGGUAUGACCUGACACUGAGCCACGACGGCGUGGGGAGCAAACGGGG
rnacentral:rRNA from 1 species